rnacentral:tRNA from 1 species
GGAAGUAUUGAGCAAUUGGUUGGCUCGCCAGACUGUAAAUCUGGUUUACUAUGUAACGUGUUGGUUCGAGUCCAACUACUUCCA